rnacentral:rRNA from 1 species
UACAGAGGGGGCAAGCGUUAUUCGGAAUUAUUGGGCGUAAAGGGCGCGUAGGCGGCUUGGCAAGUGGAUGGUGAAAUCCCUCGGCUUAACCGAGGAACUGCCGUCCAAACUGCUUCGCUUGAGACCGGGAGAGGUGAGUGGAAUUCCCAGUGUAGCGGUGAAAUGCGUAGAUAUCGGGAGGAACACCAGUGGCGAAGGCGGCUCACUGGACCGGUACUGACGCUGAGGUGCGAAAGCGUGGGGAGCAAACAGG